UUUGACCUCAAAUCAGGUAGGACUACCCGCUGAACUUAAGCAUAUCAAUAAGCGGAGGAAAAGAAACCAACAGGGAUUGCCUCAGUAACGGCGAGUGAAGCGGCAAAAGCUCAAAUUUGAAAUCUAGCACUUUCAGUGUUCGAGUUGUAAUUUGAAGAAGGUAACUUUGGUUUUGGCUCUUGUCUAUGUUCCUUGGAACAGGACGUCACAGAGGGUGAGAAUCCCGUGCGAUGAGAUGCCCAAUUCCAUGUAAAGUGCUUUCGAAGAGUCGAGUUGUUUGGGAAUGCAGCUCUAAGUGGGUGGUAAAUUCCAUCUAAAGCUAAAUAUUGGCGAGAGACCGAUAGCGAACAAGUACAGUGAUGGAAAGAUGAAAAGAACUUUGAAAAGAGAGUGAAAAAGUACGUGAAAUUGUUGAAAGGGAAGGGCUUGAGAUCAGACUUGGUAUUUUGCGUUCCCUUCCUUUUUGGUUGGGUUCCUCGCAGUUUACUGGGCCAGCAUCGGUUUGGAUGGUAGGAUAAUGACAUUGGAAUGUAGCUUUACUUCGGUGAAGUGUUAUAGACUUUGUUGAUACUGCCUAUCUAGACCGAGGACUGCGUCUUUGACUAGGAUGCUGGCGUAAUGAUCUUAAGCCGCCCGUCUUGAAACACGGACC
rnacentral:rRNA from 1 species